GAUAAUCUGCCCUAUGGUUCGAGAUAACGUUGGGAAACUGACGCUAAUAUCGAAUAGAGGAUUGAGGCUGGAAUGCACUCUCCUUGAAACUUUGGCCAUAGGAUGAGUUGGCGGCUGAUUAGGCUGUUGGUGAGGUAACGGCUCACCAAAACCUGCAAUCAGUAGGGGAGAUGAGAGUCUUGGCCUCGAGAAGGACACUGAGAUACUGGUCCUAGCCCUAAGGGGUGCAGCAGUCACGGAACCUUUACAAUGCGCGAAAGCGUGAUAAGGGGAUCCCAAGUGCUUUGCCAACGGUAAGGCUUUUGUCAAGUGUAAGAAGCUUGUUGAAUAAAGGGUGGGUAAGACUGGUGCCAGCCGCCGCGGUAACACCAGCGCCCUGAGUAGUGAUCGCGUUUAUUGGGUCUAAAGCGUUCGUAGCCGGUUUGAUAAAUCUUUUGUGAAAUUGUUGGGCUUAACUCAACGACGUGCAAGAAAGACUGUUAGGCUUGAGACCGGGAGGAGGCAGAGGUAUUCUGGGGGGAGCGGUAAAAUGUUAUAAUCCCCAGAGGACCACCAGUGGCGAAGGCUUCUGUCUAGAACGGAUCUGACGGUGAGGAACGAAGGCUAGGGGAGCAAAAUGGAUUAGAUACCCAAGUAGUCCUAGCUGUAAACGCUGCGAGCUGAGUGGUGCGUAUUCUAUAUGGAUAUGCAUGGCUUAAACGAAGGUGUUAAGCUCGCCACCUGGGAAGUAUAGUCGCAAGGCCGAAACUUAAAGGAAUUGGCGGGAGCUCACUACAAGGAGUGCGGCGUGCGGUUCAAUCUAAUUAUACGCAGAAAAUCUCACCAGGAGCGACGGCAGAAUGAAGGUCAGAUUGAAGGUUUUACCUGACAAGCCGAGAGGUGGUGCAUGGCUGCCGUCAGUUCGUGCCGUGAGGUGUUACGUUAAGUCGUAAAACGAACAAGACCCAUGCUUACAUUUGCCAGCAUUUUCUACGGAAAGAAUGGGCACAAUGUGGGGACUGCUCUCGAAAGGGAGAGGAAGGUGUGGGCAACGGUAGGUCUGUAUGCCCCGAACCUCCUGGGCUACACGCGCGCAACAAUGGUAAGGACAAUAGGAUGCAACUCUGAAAAGAGAAGCUAAUCCCCUAAACCUUAUCUUAGUUCAAAUUGAGGACUGUAAUUCGUUCUCAUGACGAUGGAAUUCCUAGUAAUCGGGUUUCAACACGACCCGGUGAACACGUCCCUGAGCUUUGCACACACUGCCCGUCAAGCCAACCGAGCAGGGCUUGGGUGAGGAUUAAUUUUUUGAUUAAUUCGAAUCUAAGUUCAGUGAGGUGGGUUAAGUCGUCACAAGGUC
rnacentral:rRNA from 1 species